GGCUUCGAUAAAUAUUGGUACCAACUUCCGAGCAUUAAGUCUCGAGACCCUUCCCAGUACAGUCUGGUGUUUCUGGGCCGGGGGUGACUCCGCGCGGCUUCUUCUUCCACAUGUGCACAUGUGACAUGUGGAAAUAUAUAUUCCCAGUUCAUUCUGGUGAAUCAACACUGUCUCAACCAUUUCUGAGGCCCAAAUGAGAGAACCAAGAACUUGGGUUAUUCUCCAGGAAACAGAGACUUGGAAGCCUGAGAACCAAGACCAUCUACAUACGAUCUUUCGAUUGCGCUAAUAUUCAUUUUGUGUUAGGAUUCAGAUGAUUUUCUUUUUCGACUAUUGUGUUCUGCAGAUUCUCCGGUAAGGUGGAGCCGUGGAGCUAUAUAGAGAAAAGAAAUGUGGCCCAUUACAAGCCCGGUCGCGUCAGGAUAGCCACCUACCAAACCUUCAAGACGAUCUGACACACUAAUCGAGUGUCACAAAGGAGAAGAGACCCAUUCCCUACGAUGGCGCCAAACAUAGGUAUCAACUGCUCCGUCGAUCACUGUUUCAAGUCAGACAGUAAUGAGGAAGUCGAGCAGUUUCCACGCAACGAAGCAUCUAUAAAAGAAGAGGAAGCUAUGAGAAAAAACAUACACAGAAAAAGAGAGAGAGAUAGAGAGAGAACUAGAUUUGACGGCGAGUUAGUAUUUAUAACGACGAGUUCAUUAUCCUUUGUAUCUCCUUUCGGUCUUUAGCUUACACUUCAUAUUAACGAAAUCUUUGGCACUUAAAUCUCUUAGAUUACUUGAUUAGAAACGUUAUAACGUCCCUCUUAUCGGAUUUAGGAUUCAACUUUAUGCGGAUAAGAAAAUCAAUUAUAUAACGCGCGGUGUGUUUGUUUAAUAUAUUUUUUGUGAAAUAAAAGAAAAUUUAUAUGACAUUUUUUACCUCUAGAAUUUUCGGGUUAAGGCAAAAUAAUAAGCCAACCCAUUCUAAACCGAGAAAAGCAGUUAUCGUUGAAUAUAAGGUAUAAGUAAAUACAACUAAUGCCACCAAUUCGAGCCCGUUCAAAGUGGUAGAGUCUCACUUGAGUAACAACUCCCACCAGGGUUCGAUACCAUAUUGGUACCCAACUUCCGAGCAAUAAGUCUCGUGAUCCUUCCCAGUAUAAUCUGGUGAUUCUGCGCCGGAGUUAUCUCUGUGCGGCUUCUUCUUUAUCAUAUGGAAAGAUUUAUUCCCAGAACUUUCUGGUGACCGUGUCCCAACCAUUGUUGAGGCCCCAAAUGAGGUAAUCUAAAUUACCUCUCUUUU